rnacentral:rRNA from 1 species
GCAAGUCGAGGGGUAACAUUGAUUGCUUGCAAUCAGAUGACGACCGGCGCACGGGUGCGUAACGCGUAUACAAUCUACCUUAUACCGGGGUAUAGCCCAGAGAAAUUUGGAUUAAUCCCCCAUGGUACCAUUAUGUAGCAUUAUAUUAUGGUUAAAGGUUACGGUAUAAGAUGAGUAUGCGUCCUAUUAGUUAGUUGGUAAGGUAACGGCUUACCAAGACUACGAUAGGUAGGGGCCCUGAGAGGGGGAUC